AGAGGAAGUCCGGUGCGAAUCCGGCGCGGUCCCGCCACUGUCACCGGGGAACGCACGCGCCGCGUGCCCACCCGGGAGCCAGGAACUC
rnacentral:ncRNA from 2 species